rnacentral:rRNA from 1 species
UACGUAGGGUGCAGGCGUUAAUCGGAAUUACUGGGCGUAAAGCGUGCGCAGGCGGUUUGUUAAGACAGGUGUGAAAUCCCCGGGCUUAACCUGGGAACUGCAUUUGAAACUACGAGGCUAGAGUGUGUCAGAGGGGGGUAGAAUUCCACGUGUAGCAGUGAAAUGCGUAGAGAUGUGGAGGAAUACCGAUGGCGAAGGCAGCCCCCUGGGAUAACACUGACGCUCAUGCACGAAAGCGUGGGGAGCAAACAGG